rnacentral:rRNA from 1 species
CCUACGGGUGGCAGCAGUGGGGAAUAUUGGGCAAUGGGCGCAAGCCUGACCCAGCAACGCCGCGUGAAGGAAGAAGGCUCUCGGGUUGUAAACUUCUUUUAUCAGGGACGAAGCAAGUGACGGUACCUGAUGAAUAAGCCACGGCUAACUACGUGCCAGCAGCCGCGGUAAUACGUAGGUGGCAAGCGUUAUCCGGAUUUACUGGGUGUAAAGGGCGUGUAGGCGGGAAAGCAAGACAGAUGUGAAAACCAUGGGCUCAACCUGUGGACUGCCUUUGAAACUGUUUUUCUUGAGUAUUGGAGAGGAAGACGGAAUACCUAGUGUAGAGGUGAAAUGCGUAGAUAUUAGGAGGAACACCAGUGGCGAAGGCGGUCUGCUGGACAUCAACUGACGCUGAGGCGCGAAAGCGUGGGGAGCAAACAGGAUUAGAUACCCGAGUAGUC